AGAGAUUGAGAUCCAGAAGCUUCUUUCCCCAUUCUUCAUUUCGUCCUUCCACCGUCCCUUCUCGCCACUAUCGUCAGUGACCAUGGAUGCUCGAAUCCUCUCUUCCUUUCAUCCAUCCUCCCCUAUUCUUCCUCUGAUUUGUGCGACUGGCCUCAUCUUUUUGGCACAACGUUGCUGUCGCCUUAUGUUCGCGACAGUGGGUGCAUUAGCAUCCGUUCAUCCUUGUUCCUCUACUCUUCUUGGUUCACCUAAUAAUGGCUUCCCCUAUUUCUUUGAGGUUCAGUGUCAGUGCUGUGUUCGACCGUGCGUGGCAGUGAGUGCGUCGGUUUCACCCUCCAUUUUUGCUCAUCUAAGUUCCUCUUUUUUUUGGCUUCUAGAUUCGCCGAUUUAAGGACAAGGCAUUGUCAUCAGGAGACUAGUUUGGAAGUAAGAUACGUACUUGGGAACUCUACAGCUAGCUAUCGGUGGGGUGUUUCUUCGUUGCUGUGCUUCGUUCGCUGCCAUCCUUGCCGUUCGUGCUUGCCAGCCACAGUGUAGUGAGCUACUGAUUCUCUUUACCUGUCAUCGUCUUAUUUGUGUCAUCGAGAGAUAUCGUAGCUGACCCUGCACCUCCAACUAACCAGUGAGGGCACUUCUUGCUUUUUGGAAAAAGGAAGCACGUGGUGAUUAUUCUUUUUAGUGAAAUCUUAUAUGGUAUUUUGUAAAUUAUAAGUUAGUACUCCACAUACACCAUAGUUAGAUUCUAAGUUUAUUGUUAUUGUAAAAAUUGUUGGAAUAGAGCUAGACUCCUUGUUAGUCUGGUUGGUAGGUUCUAUUGUUAUUAUGAAAAUUUUGGGAUGUCCAAAUUAUA